GGAUUCCCUCGGCAUGAAAGGGGAGCGAUGUGUGGAAUCUGCUGCUAGGCACAUUUACAUGGCGCCUUCUAACAGUCGCCAGACAACAAGAUGGACCUGGCCUGGGCGCUCUCCUGCACUGCUGCUGCCCCUGGGGUGGGGGGAGAGGAGUCACUCGGGACCGUCCUUAGGUGGUGUCUAAUGAUGGAAAUGGGGGGUAAAAGGGCAGCUGCCCCCUCCAUUAUAUCCCCACAGCCAGCUCUUCCCGAGCUGGAGCCGCCAAUCACAGGUCGGCUUCCAUUUUGUGUUACCCCUGGGAGUAUUGGGGGGGGGGGGGGAUAUACCCGUACGGGCAGCUCGCAGACACGACCACCACAGAGUACCGGUAUUAGGCGAGCGGCUGGCUGCGUGUUAUACAGCCGGUACUACAGGGUGUGCUGCCGGCCUGUGGGGAGCGUCUGCCAUUGCACCGCACACACCGUGACACCCGGACGCCUGCAAGAGCUGUUCUAUGCACACUGCACAGAUCUACGCUGAGGCUGAGCAGGGAGGGGGUAGACGAGGCUGCCCUGGGUGGGGGGCGGGGGGUGUCCCCGGCCGUGGUCCGGGCCACAGUGACGUAAUGGGCUGGCAGAGAGACUCUCCCUAGGCUGCGGCCAAUCAGCGCGCAGCUUGCAUCCGCCUCUGAGUUAUUACCGUACUCUGCAGACAAUCCUUCAGCAGACAGCAGCAGCCAAGGAGAGCACGCAGGCUGCAGCUAUUACCCAGCCCUGGGAUGCAAUGGCCAACUGUGUGCACACUGACUCUGGCUGUUCCUCCUUUGUUGCAAACAAGGGAUCCUUGUAAUUGAACCAACCAGUACCUCUCAGGACUCAGCUCUGUUUACUUUUUGAAAAGAGGAGUUCUUGUGUAACACGCCUAAUGCAAGAUCAUAUACGUAAGGAACUUGUAUACCGACCUAACUCCAGCAAUCUGCAGGUUUGAAACAACACAAAUGGAAUGUAUGUUACUGAAACUACAAAGCAGAAACAUAAACAAAGGUUCAAAAGGAAAGUGGCCUAAAUUCCAUAGCAAGUGAUACUGAAAACAAAGUUGUACCCUUUAGGAGCGAGCCUAUAAAGACAACCUAUAUGUCCUGAAACAUGUUUUUGUCUGGUCUUUUUCAGUACAGCAUGUUGUUUUGAGUCCUUUGUAGCUUGUUUCAGAGUCAGUGUACAGAGAUAGAAGAGGGGAUAAAACCAGAAUUACUGGGUGUGUUCCUGCAUUAUCAGGAUAGUGACAUAUCAAAUAUGUGAGUCAGGCUGUAGUGCUAGAUAUCCACUACUCUGGUUAUAGACAAAUACAAACCGGUAUAACCAGAAAGAUUUUGUGUUAAGUCGUUUUUCCUUCUAUUAUUUGGUUAUUUCAGGCCAACACCAUUGAAUGAAAAAAGAGACCCAUAGAAAUGUAAAUAGCUUGCUGAGUAAUGUGUGCAUACUGCCAUGCUGGUAUGUCUUUAAUGUUUGCCUUUUGGCCAAAUAAAAGAAACACAUAUUUUUGCUAGUGCUUGUUACAUAACUGGCAAAUGUAAACAUAUUUAUAGUUUGAAAUGUACUUAAUUUUAUAGUUGCUAUUCUGCAUUAUUGAACUUUCUAAUGCAAUGCAGAACAUUUUGCCAGUGCCUUAAACAUCACUUCUGGUAACCAUGUCUACCUUGUCCAAGUAGGAGUAAAUUUACUAAGAAUAGAUUUUCUAAACUCACAAUUUUUGCCAAUUCUGCUAUAUUUAAAAGAGCAAGAAUAGUAAGUGCACAAUCAGGCUUGUUUUGCAUUCAAUAUUAUUGUCCUUUUAAAUCUGGUAGGCAAAAUCGUCAAAUCCUAGAUUUUGAUCCAUUGCUUUGUAAAUAUACUCAUUAUUUUUCUACACCGAGUGAGAGAGAACUUUACAGUAUAUUUCAAUUGUCCACUGUUGUGAAAAUGGUUUUCAUGAGUUGAAUUUAGUUUGCCCAUAGAAUCUUAUCUGUACAACUAUCUAACCAGCAUUUGUUGGAGUUUAAAUUUGAGUGUAUUUGCAUCUGCAAAAUCCUAUUGAAAUACAGCAUUUGACUGAGGUACAAAAACAUCCACUUAAUCUGGCCUAUUCUUGUAGGCCGAACCAAGCAAUGGAAUGCUUGUUGAAAUAUUCAUUUCCACAGGGAGCAUCAGUUUCCUUCCACACUCCAAAGAUAAUACAGCGGGUCAAUUGUUUUCUGACAAAAUUAACCUGUGUGUGUGUUAUGGGGGAUGGACUGAUGUGAGUGAUUACAUAGUCUCCAGGAAGUGCUACAUAAUACUUUGCAACUAUAUAAAUCACCUAAUUAAAGACUAUUUAUAUUAACAUUUACUUGUAUAUUACCAACCUUGUUGUGCUUUACAAUUGGAGUUUUGCUGCUUAUAUGAUAAAAUGUGCAUAAACAGCAUUUAAAUAAUGUGUACAUUCUUUACUCAUCAGUUAUCGAUGCUCAUUUAAGGUAGUGUUAAUGGGCAUUUGGCAUAAAUAUGCACUAUUGCACUGGAUUCUCAACAACACCAAAAAGGCCAGUUACCUAUGCUCCAUUUGGGAAGCAUAAGAGGGCCAUGAUAGGAGGGUCAAUGAGCAGAAUUAAGUAAUUGUUCCGAAAACUGCUAUUUUUAUAGGCGAUGGAUGGCUCUGAGAGGCUAACAGGUGUAUAUCAUCCAGUGCACUUUAUAGUUAAUCUCGCCAGUGUAUGGGGAUUGUAUAUAGCACCGCCUCCAUGUCGGCAGAAUAUAUGAGCUGUAAGACUUCACAAGAGUAAUUGUAACUAGGGAUUAUCCAUAAGUGUCUGUUAUUGUACAUAUUAAACUGUAGCUGCAGUACUUAUACUUGACUGAGGGAGCAAAAUGUGCACGCCGUAGUGCAGAAGACUGAAAGAAGGAUUUUUUUUUUCUUGCUGACUGAUCUGGGGAAGGAAGGGUGUAUGAAAUAGGAGCCUCUUGCAGCUCAACUAAACAUAACCUUCAACAAACACAGGCACAGCUUAAUAUUUUCUCUGCAAGUGAAACUAAAAUGAAGGAACAUCUCUCUCCCUUUUUACGCUUCUGGAUUUGGCAAGUAGCCUUACUAUUACCUUAUGCGUACAACAGCUGCUUCCUUUCUGUGAUUGGACAGUAAUUAUACAUGUAUAUAUUAAAUUGAAAAUCGCUAAAAUAAAGUUGGCACUCUGUAGGGUACUGACAAUUCUUUCUGUUCAAUAUCUUAAUCCAAUAGUACAUAUAUGUUCAUGUAAUAUUCCAGUUUGUACUGAAUCCAAGAGACAAAUGCUACUGGUGUAAAUUCUGUAAUAAGUAGAUAGUGUGGCUUUAGAAUCUGUAGGUUGUUCUUUAAUUGUUCUAAGUCCAAACCAUGUCCUGUGUAUCAUUACAUCCAUGAGUCCAUCCAAACUGAGCCUUGUGCUGUGUAUUCAUAGGGCUUCCUUUGGUAGGCUUUGGUUGAACAGCAAUAGCUCUAACAUUGUUUUGUCUUCAUUUAUAUGGAGAGUAUGACUAGUUUCUAUAACUAUGUAUAGCGUGGCUAACUGCUAUUACUAUUGGUUUUUGAUUGAGCUGAAUGUUGUCCCUUACUGAAUACAUUACACUUGAUGACAAAUAGAGGGACUUGCUCCCUGUGGAGAAUGAUAUAUUGAGAGGGAAUUGGCCACAGAAAAUUGCCUACUCUAACAAUGUAUUAUUUGAAAUGAGCAGUACAUUGUACCACAUGCCAUGGGUACAUAACCGAAGAUCUUUGGCUAUUGCAGAAUUGGCCCAGACCCUGUUAAUGCAGUAUCCUCUGAAGGUGAAGACCCAACACUGUAGGUCUGGGAUCCUCUUUUACUGCUGCAUGUCUCAUUAAAAACAGCGUUACUGUCUGUUGCGAAGGGGCAGUUCAGUGGGGAGAUUCACCACUAACACUAGUGUAAAUUAAGCAAGCAGUUUCAAGAUCGAACACCAGAGCAUUGAACCAAUUAUUAAUGUUAUGAAAAUAAUUAAGCAGCAAUUGUUUGCCAGGCAUAUUAAGAUUUCCAGAUGAUUGGUGACAUUGAGAGGCUGAUGAGGCUGAUCGCAUAGCAAAGCUCAGCAGUACUUGGGGAACUGUAUAUAGAAUACGGAUAUACUUGUAAGUGUAAUAUCCUGACUUGCUGUAUAAAUUUUUGUCCCCAGUUGUAAAGCUUCACAGAGUAUGCUAGUGCUACAUGAAUAAAUGAUAAGAAAUAUUGUAUAAGUAGCCGUGCCAUUACUCUCUGCUUGUAUAUUAUACCCCUUUCACACUGCACAAAUAACCCGGUAUAUUGCCAGGUCGAUGUGUGGUGACAACUACGGGUCACACCUGGUAAUUGUACACUGGUCCUUUCCGGGUGCGACCCACCAUGAGACCCCUUUCAGACUGGCAAUGUGACCCUGCAAUAUACAUUGUACACUGGUCCGU